rnacentral:lncRNA from 1 species
GAGCCGGAGGGGAGCGGCCUCCCCUGCUCCUGCAGCUCAGGUCCCCACCGCUUCACCUCCCCAGCCCUAGAGGGACUGCUGCUCCUGGGGGUGAUGGCAACUGGGACAGCUGGAAGCUGUCUGGGGAAAGAACCAAACUUUUGGGGCACUACAAGGGACCCUAACUCAAUUCCCAGUGUUGCCCCAACUGGAGGAAGCCGUGUGGUUUGAUGGAGAGCCCUUUCCAGCCUCGUACCUGCAGGGCAGACACGAGCACCGCUGCCACAAGGGAUGUUUGCUGGGCCUUUCAGCUUUUUGCUCUAAAAUUUUGUAGGCGCUGUCCCCAUUUUUUUUUUGUUUAUUUGUUUUUAGUUUGCUAAAGGAAAAACCUCUUAAUGGUUUCUUUCUCUCCUAAAGGUGUCUGGCAGCAGAUGACGGGCUAGAGCUGCAUCGGGGCGGGCGGUGUGGCAUAACGCCGGAUCUGUCCUAGGCUGUGCCGGAGCGGGGACCUCAUCAGACAGAGAUUACGGAGGAACUGCACGGGCUGAGACGGCAGCUCUUAAUCCCCCGACUUUUUGGAUCGCCAGCCGUCGCCGAGGAGAAUGCAGCCCUCCCCUCCGGCCGGCUUAUAAUGAGAGGGGGACACACUGGUGGCAGUCGUUGCGCGGUGACGCUGGCUGGAUGCUCUGGACGCAUUGGAUGCAGCCGAGCUCUCCGCAGCCUGGUGGGAAGCAUCCGACAGCAGGGUGCAACGAGGGAACU